rnacentral:rRNA from 1 species
UACGUAGGGUGCAAGCGUUGUCCGGAAUUAUUGGGCGUAAAGCGCGUGUAGGCGGCUUGGCAAGUCAGUUGUGAAAGCCCGGGGCCCAACCCCGGAACUGCAUCUGAAACUGCCUGGCUAGAGUCCCGGAGAGGAAGGCAGAAUUCCCGGUGUAGGGGUGAAAUCCGUAGAUAUCGGGAGGAAUACCAGCGGCGAAGGCGGCCUUCUGGACGGUGACUGACGCUGAGACGCGAAAGCGUGGGGAGCAAACAGG